GAGUGAACGCUGGCGGUAGGCCUAACACAUGCAAGUCGAACGGCAGCACAGUAAGAGCUUGCUCUUACGGGUGGCGAGUGGUGGACGGGUGAGGAAUACAUCGGAAUCUACUUUUUCGUGGGGGAUAACGUAGGGAAACUUACGCUAAUACCGCAUACGACCUACGGGUGAAAGCAGGGGAUCUUCGGACCUUGCGCGAUUGAAUGAGCCGAUGUCGGAUUAGCUAGUUGGCGGGGUAAAGGCCCACCAAGGCGACGAUCCGUAGCUGGUCUGAGAGGAUGAUCAGCCACACUGGAACUGAGACACGGUCCAGACUCCUACGGGAGGCAGCAGUGGGGAAUAUUGGACAAUGGGCGCAAGCCUGAUCCAGCCAUACCGCGUGGGUGAAGAAGGCCUUCGGGUUGUAAAGCCCUUUUGUUGGGAAAGAAAAGCAGCAGGUUAAUACCCCGCUGUUCUGACGGUACCCAAAGAAUAAGCACCGGCUAACUUCGUG
rnacentral:rRNA from 1 species